rnacentral:rRNA from 1 species
AUGAACGCUGGCGGCGUGCCUAAUCCAUGCAAGUCGAGCGCACAGACGAGGAGCUUGCUCCUCUGACGUUAGCGGCGGACGGGUGAGUAACACGUGGAUAACCUACCUAUAAGACUGGGAUAACUUCGGGAAACCGGAGCUAAUACCGGAUAAUAUAUUGAACCGCAUGGUUCAAUAGUGAAAGACGGUUUUGCUGUCACUUAUAGAUGGAUCCGCGCCGCAUUAGCUAGUUGGUAAGGUAACGGCUUACCAAGGCAACGAUGCGUAGCCGACCUGAGAGGGUGAUCGGCCACACUGGAACUGAGACACGGUCCAGACUCCUACGGGAGGCAGCAGUAGGGAAUCUUCCGCAAUGGGCGAAAGCUUGACGGAGCAACGCCGCGUGAGUGAUGAAGGUCUUCGGAUCGUAAAACUCUGUUAUUAGGGAAGAACAAAUGUGUAAGUAACUAUGCACGUCUUGACGGUACCUAAUCAGAAAGCCACGGCUAACUACGUG